rnacentral:rRNA from 1 species
GACGAACGCUGGCGGCGUGCUUAACACAUGCCAGUCGAACGGAAAGGCCCUGCUUUUGUGGGGUGCUCGAGUGGCGAACGGGUGAGUAACACGUGAGUAACCUGCCCUUGACUUUGGGAUAACUUCAGGAAACUGGGGCUAAUACCGGAUAGGAGCUCCUGCUGCAUGGUGGGGGUUGGAAAGUUUCGGCGGUUGGGGAUGGACUCGCGGCUUAUCAGCUUGUUGGUGGGGUAGUGGCUUACCAAGGCUUUGACGGGUAGCCGGCCGGAGAGGGUGACCGGCCACAUUGGGACUGAGAUACGGCCCAGACUCCUACGGGAGGCAGCAGUGGGGAAUAUUGCACAAUGGGCGGAAGCCUGAUGCAGCAACGCCGCGUGCGGGAUGACGGCCUUCGGGUUGUAAACCGCUUUCGCCUGUGACGAAGCGUGAGUGACGGUAAUGGGUAAAGAAGCACCGGCUAACUACGUG